GGACCUGGCGCGUGCGUAAAACGGAGGCGCGAGCUUCAAAAAGAUGGCGGCACGCUCGCGGCGCCGUCUCUCGCUACUGCAGACGCGGUCUUGCAGUGAUUCCAGCGACACGCCGUUUUCUUUCACUACCUCCAUGGAGUGGGACACUCAGGUGGUGGAUGGGUCCUCCCCUCUGGGCCCUUCCGAGACUAAGGUGGAGGCGUCACUGGUCGACCUGCAGCCUCCUGCGUGGUUGGAGCCAGAGAGGUGUGCCGUGUUCCACUGUGCGCAUUGCCACGCGGUGCUCGCCGACACCGUGCAUCUCGCCUGGGAUCUGUCCAAGUCUCUCGGGGCCGUGGCUUUCUCCCGAGUCACGAACAACGUCGUUUUGUUAGAGCCCUUUCUGGUUGGCAUUGAAGGUUCUCUCAGAUGCAGCACAUACAACCUUCUGGUCUGUAAUUCCUGUGGGGUUCCUGUUGGCUUCCAUCUGUACUCCACCCAUGCUGCUCUGGCUGCCCUCAGAGGUCACUUCUGCCUUUCCUGUGACAAAAUGGUGUGUUAUCUCUUAAAAACAAAGACCAUAGUAAAUGCAUCUGAGAUGGAUAUUCACAAUGUGCCUCUACCAGAAAAGAUUGCAGAGCUGAAAGAGAAGAUAAUGGUAAUGCAUGAUCGUUUAAAUUCACUGAUAGAGAUUCUGAAGGAAGUGACUCCUGAUCAAUCUAAUCAAGAAAAGUGAAGAAACAAGUUGUGUGGGGCACAUGUUUAUCAGAGCUCACAUGUGGCCUCAGAGACUUAGUGGCGAAUGCCUCUACCUGCUGAGCCAUCUCCCUGGUGCCCACUUCCAUUUUUGAGAGGCACAACAUAAUAUGCUGGGAUAAAAAUAGUAACCACACCUAUGGUGAGGAUCAAAUGAAUUAAAGAAUACUGGAACAACUGGUUACCCCCCUGGAUGAAGAAAAAAACUGAAUGUUGUCCUAUGAAAUCAGUCCAGGCAGUGUAAAGAUCUACAUGUUAAACGUGAAAAUAGAAAGCUUUUAAGCAGAACCCUGAAGAAAAUCUUCAUUAUCUCACAGAAGAAAGUUUCUUAAGAUAAGCAUUAAUUGUUUGAUGAAGAUGACAGUACUUUAAAAUACAGAAUUUCAACUAAGACAACAUAGAGUGAAAAACUGAGCCACAGCAGAAAAUGUCACACAUAAGCAACGAACGGCCAUAAUACAGAAGCUAUAGACCAACUGCUAUAUAUCAGAAAAAACAACCACUUAAAAACUGGCAGAAUACUUGUGCAAGCAUUUUAGAGAAGGCACUGGGCCGAGGGAUAAGACUCAGGUAGAGUACUUACUUUGCAUCCUGCAGAGGCUCCCACAUUACAGAAAAGUGUAAAGCUUGAAAAGUGGUACCCAACUUCACUACUGACAACCAGAAAAUAACAUCAAAUUGGUGAAAAUCAAAACAUGAUGUAAAGAUGAGGAGAAAGAAUUCCUGUAAGCUACUUGUACGAGUAACACCCUGGCACAGCUGAAGGCCGGUUUAGCAUUGCUUGUGGGAACUAAAGACAUAAUGGCUACUACAGAGCAGCGACUUAAUCCCUAGUCACCUGUACUAAGCAUGUAGCAGAUGUGUGCCAGUGUGUGCACAAAAGGCUCAUAGUCAGUCACAUCAUCUGUAAUACGGUUUGGGAAUUUAGCUCAGUAGUAGAGCGCUUGCCUAGCAAGAGUAAGGCCCUGGGUUCAGUCCUCAGCUCUGGGUGAGGCGGUGAGGGAGACAAAAUAGCAAAAAAGACCCCCCAAAAAGGGGGUGGGUUACUGGCACACAUUAUUUGUAAUAAACGUGUUGUGAAAGUCACGUUGCUCAAGUGUAGAGUGACUGGAGGAACGCCGUGUUUGUAAUGUGGACAGAUACAGCAGAGCUCUCACCAGUGAAGACUUCUAUUCCCCUUAAACAAAUCAAUGUUUUGUGUCUAUUUUAUAUCUAACUUGGAAGAAAAUACACAUAAGCACCCAAUAGAAGAUCUAAUGUAAUAAAGAAUGUUUGUAGCAUAUGGAAGUGCUCAGUGAAAACUGUUGCCAUGCGUAUAGUGGUGGGUGCACACCUGGAGUGCUAUCAUGUCUGAGGUGGAGGCAGAAGGCAAGCCUGGACUAGAGGAAAAUCUGUCUCUUGUUAGCUAAAGGAGCAUUAUUAGCUCUUAUAUUUCAGUCUCUUAAUUGUAUCAUGAGACAUCAAGUGAUUGAGCUGGUAACAUCUGCAUUUGUCCACAUACACUUUAAAAUGUUCCCACACUGUCACACAAGGGAUAGAGCUCAUGAAGGAGGGCCCUUCAUUCCGAGGGUUUGUACAAUUGAUGGUUGAUGAGGCAGAAAAAGAUAUUUAUUCCGUUGUCGUAUAGACACUGGUUAGGUGCCCAUGCUCUUUUAAAUAACCCUAAUGAAGCUCAUUGGGUCACCUCCGCCCCUCCAAAAAUAAAUAAAGACACGAAAGCAGAGGAGGAGCUAUGGGAAAAAGGGAACUGUUUGGGAGGGGGAAGAGGAUGUGAAUGUGAUCCAAAUACAGUAUGAAAAUGUCAAAAUCCAUUGUAUAUAAUUAAUAUAUGCUAAUAAAAGCUUUUAAAGACAAA